rfam:Synechococcus sp. JA-2-3B'a(2-13), complete genome.
GGGCUGUUAACUCAGUGGUAGAGUACCACCUUGACACGGUGGGAGCCGCUGGUUCAAUUCCAGCACAGCCCA